UAUCCAUAAACAAAAAAGUCUGCAUAGAUUCCUUUUUCUUGAACCCGGUUUGAAUGUGAGUUGGUGUUGUUUUUAAUGAAAAUAAAUCCUUUUUAAUUGAUUCCAAAUCAGCCGUUUUCUUCGUUUUCGUGCUGGAAUAUCAUAGUGGAUCCUUCAAACAAGUGAUGGCUCCAACACAGCCUAAAGCGGCGGCCAAGCCUGCUGCCGCACCUGCAGGUGCGGUGACUAAGAAAAAAUCUACGAAAAAACCCAGGAACUAUGAUCUGGGCAACGGAGUGAUGCGUUUCUCCAAAUCCAAGAUGUUCCACAAGAAGGCUAAAUACAAGUUCAUUGGCAAAAAGAACCCUAAGCCUGAGAAGCCCAAGAAGCUGACUGUUGUUGUAAAGCAGAUUGGAGGUGAGAAGAAUGGGGGAACCAGAACAGUACCCCUCAAACGUAGGAAGUCCUUCUACCCCACUCAGGAGAAAAUCCGUGCCUCAUCUGGUGGCCGUCCAUUCAGCAAGCAUGUACGCAGGAUCCGACCCAACCUGAAGAUAGGAACUGUUUGCAUUCUCCUCGCUGGUAGACAUGCAGGCAAGAGGGUUGUACUUGUUGGAAUUCUGCCCAGCGGUCUGCUUUUAGUUACUGGACCUUUUGCAUUCAAUUCGUGCCCGCUACGCCGUAUUCCUCAGCGCUAUGUGAUCGGCACCUCCACCAGAAUUUCACUCGGCAACUUCAAACUGCCAAAACACUUCAAUGAUGAUUACUUCAAGAAGAAUAAGAAGUGCGUCAAACGUACAGUCAAACGCAAAGAGGGUGAUGACAUCUUUGCCACAAAAAAAGAGGUAAGAUAUUUUUUUCAUAAAGUAAAUAUAAUAAAAUCGAAACUAGUGUUGUCCUGAAUAUUGAAAUUCGAUAAUAUAAAUCUGCCACAAAAAAAAGAGCUAAGAUAUUUUCUUCAUAAAGUAAAUGUAGUAAAAUUCAAACUAAGUAUAUAGUUUGUGAAUACUUUCUUCCUCAGAAAUACGUUCCAUCUGAGCAGCGCAAAACCGAUCAGAAGACAGUCGAUGAGGCUGUGAUCAAAGCCAUUGGAGCCCGACCCGACAAGAAGGUGCUCCGCGGAUACCUCAAGGCGGCCUUCGGACUCCGCUCCAGCCAAUAUCCCCAUCGGCUGCGCUUCUAAAUCUAGAAUAAGAAAUAAAAUAUUUGACUAAA